AUUGAACGCUAGCGGGAUGCCUUACACAUGCAAGUCGAACGAGUGGCGGACGGGUGAGUAAUAUAUCGGAACGUGCCCAGUAGCGGGGGAUAACGAAGGGAAAGAGUCGCUAAUACCGCAUACGAUUGGAGGGGCCGAUAUCGGAUUAGCUAGUUGGGGGGGUAAAGGCCCACCAAGGCGACGCUCCGUAGCUGGUCUGAUAGGAUGACCAGCCACACUGGGACUGAGACACGGUCCAGACUCCUACGGGAGGCAGCAGUGGGGAAUAUUGGACAAUGGGGGCAAGCCUGAUCCAGCCAUCCCGCGUGUAUGAGAAGGCCUUCGGGUUGUAAAGUCCUUUUGGCAGAAAAGCGGUAUCUGCAGAAUAAGCACCGGCUAACUACGUGCCAGCAGCCGCGGUAAUUC
rnacentral:rRNA from 1 species